ACUCAACAAGCUCUAACUGCAGUGAAUUAAAUAGACCACAUUUUUUUUUUUUUUUUGUAAAAAUAAUGAUUGUAUUUCAGUCUGUUUUCUGUCGUCCUGCAAUUUAUCUGUUCAGCAUUAGUUUCAUGUAAUAGGCUUAUAGGCUACAGCUGCUAAUGUUACAAUCUUUACAUGGUCCCAUUCAACGGGUCCGGUUAAAGUCUAAAAAUUCAGAACAAAAUUUAAAGAACUUUUAGUUCUUUACUUUAAAAAAUGUUGCGUAACAUUUAAUGUUGCCUAAUGUUGUUGGCCAUGUAUGCCUUAGAUAUUCUCAUUUAAUAUAAAAAUUGUUGUUGUUAUCGAUAUAAGCUUUAUAUAUCUUAAGCCAUUUUUUUAAAGAAGUUCACAGGUUUUUAAAAGAAGUAUCGAUAUGUAUGUAUGUCUGCAUAAACUUGAUCAGUCUCAUGUCUGUCCUCUUCAAGAUAUCUGAGAACCAAACAUCGCAUUGCAUUCAAAUUUUAAGACGUCAUUCCUCAUUAUCUCAUGUAGGAGAGAAGUGGGGCAAAACCUGUAUCUCCGUAAUGAUCCUAGUAGGAACCGAAUUGGGGACGAUGAUUGUAUUAUCGUCUCCAAUUUAGUUCCUGAUGGCCCAAAAUGAUGGUUUAAAGGUAGUUUGUGAGUUCUCUGUUAGAUUCCAGCGGUCAUCACGGAGAUAGAUGUAUCGGUUUUGCCCACUCUCCCCUAUUGUUUUGUUUAUUAAUUUUGUUCUCGGUGGUCUCCUUAUGAGAUGGCGACAGUUCGUAACAUUAAAAUGUGGAUGUUUACAAAACUACGUCUCAGUAAUAUGUUCAUAUAAAACUAUUUUAGAUAUAUAUAUUCUUUGUAGCACUUUUGAAAACUUUUCAUAGCCUAAAAAUAUUUGUAACAUUUAAUUGCAAUUUUUCGAUAGCCCAAAUCUAAAAAUAAAAACUCACAAGAUGGAAACCGAGUUAGUAUAUGCAAUUGUAUAUUAAAUGAGCGGCAAAAAACAUUAGCUGGUAGGCUAAAUGAAAAAUUAAAUGUAUAAAAUGCAAAAAAUAAACCGUUUGUGUGCCACAAGCUGUUUUUUAAGGAUCGAUCCAGAUAUUUUCGACGAAUGCUGGAGGCCAAAAACUAAAAAACACUACUAGAAGCUUUUAACAAUUUAAUUUAACUAAAAAAAUAGCUUGUUCAACUUAUUAAUGUCAAUAAUUGUUAAUAAGAUAAAAAAAUUCGUAGUUCAGAAAAAAUAUUGCCCGAAUAUAUUCUUAUGGUAAUGUUAUGUUAUGUUAUGAAUGUUAUGUUCUUAAUAUGAAAACUGUAAUGAUUUUUAUAAAACUAUCCUCCAUUUGCCUAAAUUUAAAGGCAGUAUUUAAACUUUAAACAUUAUCUAUAAUGUUUGAAUUGAAAUAUUGUUCUUGGCGGAAUCCACUUAGAUGGAUUAAUAGAAUUGAUUGAAUCGAGAGAGCAAAUUGUAUCGAAUCCUUAACGAUUUCAAAAUUGAUUUAAGAUUGCAGUAUAUUCUCAUCGAACGUUUUAAUCUAACGUCACAUUUAAUAGUUUUGAUGCUUUUGCCAUUUCUGGUGGUAGAAUCGGUUAAGAACGAACAUUUAUUGUUUUCUGGUGGAGAAUUAUGUUCGGUAAUUCUAGUGGUAGCAUCCAAACUUUACGUCUGAGUACCUUUAGAGACGAUUUUUGUUUGUUCCGCUUCUUGAUUUUCUUGUUAACUCUGUUAUUACAUAAAAGUGAUGCGGGAAUUAAACUUUAUCCACUUUUUGAACAUUUAUUCUAGCAUGAAUUUUGUUAACGCAAUAUGAAAUGUUGAUCGCAUUCAGAAAAAAAAAAUCCCGUUAAAUUUUAAAAUUGUUUUAGCUCAAACUUUUAAAAAUGUAACAGGUUAAAAUGAGUAGAGAGGGAGAUUAUGGGUAGAGUAUUAUAGAAUAGAGAGAGAGAGAGUGAGUGAUCGUUUCGCUUUUCUUACACUAAAAUAAGUUACAGUAAAACUUUCGAGGUUAAAAUAAUGGCAUUUUUUAUUUCCAAUACGGUAGUUGGUCCAUUUGUUGGUAUAGUCUGAUCGAUGUUAGUGUGGAUCUUGUAGAAGUCCAGUAGAGAAAGGAAGAAAGAGGAUGCACGUGAUCCAAUCGAACAUCCGGGCCAGGACAAUGGAUGCUCUGCAGGUAGCCAAUGCUAGAGAGAUCGAUAUUCGCCUAAGCAGUACUUGUUGUCUUUAAGCGCACUUGGCGAAUUUGGCUGUCCCUCGAGUGUCAUUGUCUUCAAAUCCGUACAUACGCCUCUUCAUUUUAUCUCGUAAAAAUACUCGUUCAUAAGAACCGCCCGCAUUUUAAAAGCUGAAAAGGUUCGAUAAGAAUCACGAUUCAAAAAGAAAAAAAAUAAAAAUAUGGGCCGCUCCAAAAAUCUUAACACACAAUUUUCUAUGCAGGAAAAAUGUUCACUGUUUCCAUUAAAAAAUAUAUAUAUAUGAGAUUCAAAUACC
rnacentral:lncRNA from 1 species